rnacentral:rRNA from 1 species
UACGAAGGGGGCUAGCGUUGCUCGGAAUUACUGGGCGGAAAGCGCACGUAGGCGGAUUGUUAAGUCAGGGGUGAAAUCCUGGAGCUCAACUCCAGAACUGCCUUUGAUACUGGCGAUCUUGAGUCCGGGAGAGGUGAGUGGAACUGCGAGUGUAGAGGUGAAAUUCGUAGAUAUUCGCAAGAACACCAGUGGCGAAGGCGGCUCACUGGCCCGGUACUGACGCUGAGGUGCGAAAGCGUGGGGAGCAAACAGG